GACGAACGCUGGCGGCGUGCCUAAUACAUGCAAGUCGAGCGAAGUUUUUCUGGUGCUUGCACUAGAAAAACUUAGCGGCGAACGGGUGAGUAACACGUAAAGAACCUGCCUCAUAGACUGGGACAACUAUUGGAAACGAUAGCUAAUACCGGAUAACAGUAUUUCCCGCAUGAGAGAUAUUUAAAAGUUGGUUAUGCUAACACUAUGAGAUGGCUUUGCGGUGCAUUAGCUAGUUGGUGGGGUAAAGGCCCACCAAGGCGACGAUGCAUAGCCGACCUGAGAGGGUGAUCGGCCACACUGGGACUGAGACACGGCCCAGACUCCGACGGGAGGCAGCAGUAGGGAAUCUUCCGCAAUGGGCGAAAGCCUGACGGAGCAACGCCGCGUGAGUGAAGAAGGAUUUCGGUUCGUAAAGCUCUGUUGUUAGGGAAGAAUGGAUAUGUAGUAACUAUACAUGUAAGAGACGGUACCUAACCAGAAAGCCACGGCUAACUACGUG
rnacentral:rRNA from 1 species